UCAGGUCUCACAGUUUGGAGGAUAGAAUGGGAAAAUGCUGAUUGCAAGUUAUUUCUGACAUCCUUGAACUUACCCAUGUGAAUCACAGCUUCUGCUGCAUGCCCACUCCUUUUGCCUAAAUAUGCAGUUAUCAUCAUACAUCCAGAAUUGCCCUCUGUCCCGGGCUGCAUACAUCAUCAGAGGAGAAUGUUGAUCACCUGUUUCCAAGCCUUGGCAAGGCAAUUCAGGAUAAAUG
rnacentral:lncRNA from 1 species